rnacentral:misc_RNA from 1 species
UCACAACUUUGCAAGUUUAUCACUUACCCGAAUGGUAAAAAUUUUGAUUAGAAAUUAACAUACAGCUACACAAACGAAGGGUUAAAAAAUGGUAGAAGUAUCCAAUGCUAAAGAUUAAGUGGUAAAAUACUAAAAUAUAAAUAAACUGACACUAAUGGCUGUGCACAUCAAAGGUUGCUGCUUUGGUAUAUUUAGUUUCUUCCUAUCAAAGAUAAAUCUAACGUCAUAUUUUGAUAAAAAGUUUUAGCAGGGAGAGUUUUCUUUCGGCUAUAAACAACUUUGUCCCUGAAACUUUGCCAGCUUCAGAUUCCACCAUCCUAUAUCCUGACGCGAACACGGAAAAGAUUUAUACUCCAACAAUUCGUAUUCUACAUGCCACACAUAACUAGCCAGUUGCUGUCUCCCGCAUAUCAUCUCUGUCUUUGCCUUUUUCGUCGUAGAACUCCUUCCCCUAUCAUCGUGGGAGUGAGAGAGAGAGAGACACAUGGCAACUGAGAGAGCAAAUGUUCAGGACUUAGACACCCACAAUGAAAGCAACCAACAAACCUUCACAGAAUCCUCAGCUAACAGCAAGGGAUUUGCAAAAGCACUUGCACAGAGGGCACUCUACAGUUCAAGCAGCAGCCGU